GACGACCUAAGACAGGGGCUACUUGAUUCCCAUUGGCAUGCAAAAAACAAAAAAGGGGGACUUGCUGGUAGCAGGCCCGCCCUGCCCCCUGGGGACUCAACCCCCAGUUCUUUGUUAUGCAUGUCAAUGUGGCCAGCUCACAAGGCCGUGACGCGGGCUUGCGGUUCCCUGUUUAUCUGCCUAGAGCAUAUGCGUCUCUCGGGAACAUCUUGACCUGUUCGAGCCUCCUGAUAGGGGAUGGUGACAUGGGGUGACAGGGGAUGGUAACUCAAGGACGCAGUUAUUACUCUUUCCUCCUCACUUUUGAGUAAUUUCCCGCAGCUGUUAAAAAGAUAUAUAAGGGGAACAAAUUUGGCAAUAAAGGGCGCACAUGCUCCCUCCUGGAUGAAGAACCUUGGUGUCCUGUGUAUUUUUAACCCCGCCGUCCCUCGCCGGACUCGGCUCCAUUAGCCGGACGCGGCACCCUCCCAGUAGUUUAUGGUGGUUAAUAACAUGUUGGGAAACCAUGUAGUUCAGCACAUACUCCCCUCAUGGCUUAAACCAAUCUGUUCAAAUGAAUCCCCCUCUUGUACUAACCAAUCACCCUUACCCAACUGUUUCCUGCUGGUGACUGUGCUAAUCAUGUUUUGGAGCUGUUUUAUGAUUUUCCCGCGGUGUGUGAUGAUUUGCUAAGAGAUGCUAUGGUGUAUGAGAAGUCCCUGCCUUCCCCAGAGAGUGUAU
rnacentral:lncRNA from 1 species